rnacentral:rRNA from 1 species
UUCGGUUUCUCGUAAGAGACCAGGUGACAGGUGCUGCAUGGCUGUCGUCAGCUCGUGUCGUGAGAUGUUCGGUUAAGUCCGGCAACGAGCGCAACCCACAUCCCAGUUGCCAGCAGGUUAAGCUGGGCACUCUAUGGAAACUGCCCGUGAUAAGCGGGAGGAAGGUGUGGAUGACGUCAAGUCCUCAUGGCCCUUACGGGUUGGGCUACACACGUGCUACAAUGGCAGUGACAAUGGGUUAAUCCCAAAAAGCUGUCUCAGUUCGGAUUGGGGUCUGCAACUCGACCCCAUGAAGUCGGAAUCGCUAGUAAUUGCGUAACAGCAUGACGCGGUGAAUACGUUCCCGGGCCUU